UUCCAUUCAAGUCCAUUCAAUGAUUCCAUCUGAUUCCAUUCAAUGAAUCCAUUCGAUUCCAUUCUAUGAUGAUUCCAUUCAUUUCCAUCUGAUGAUGAUUCCAUUCGAUUCCAUUCAAUGAUUCCAUUCGAUUCCAUUUGAUGAUGAUUUCAAUCAAUUUCAUUCGAUGAUUCCAUUCGAAUCCUUUCGAUGAUGAGUCCAUCCAUUUCAAAUUCAUGAUAAUUCCAUUCCUUUCAAUUCGAUGGUGUUUCCAUUCGAUUCCAUUCGAUGUUGAUUCCAUUAGUUUCCAUUGGAUGAUGAUUCCGUUCGAGUCCAU
rnacentral:lncRNA from 10 species